GAUGAACGCUGGCGGCGUGCCUAAUACAUGCCAGUCGAGCGAACAGACGAGGAGCUUGCUCCUCUGACGUUAGCGGCGGACGGGUGAGUAACACGUGGAUAACCUACCUAUAAGACUGGGAUAACUUCGGGAAACCGGAGCUAAUACCGGAUAAUAUAUUGAACCGCAUGGUUCAAUAGUGAAAGACGGUUUUGCUGUCACUUAUAGAUGGAUCCGCGCCGCAUUAGCUAGUUGGUAAGGUAACGGCUUACCAAGGCAACGAUGCGUAGCCGACCUGAGAGGGUGAUCGGCCACACUGGAACUGAGACACGGUCCAGACUCCUACGGGAGGCAGCAGUAGGGAAUCUGCCGCAAUGGGCGAAAGCCUGACGGAGCAACGCCGCGUGAGUGAUGAAGGUCUUCGGAUCGUAAAACUCUGUUAUUAGGGAAGAACAAAUGUGUAAGUAACUAUGCACGUCUUGACGGUACCUAAUCAGAAAGCCACGGCUAACUACGU
rnacentral:rRNA from 1 species